CUUUUUAAUAUUCAAAUAACCUAAAAUAGAAAUGUUGUUGCCAGAAGUAAAGUAGUAUAGGUGAAAAAAGUAGAAGGAAGUAAUUGGAUGUAAAUUGAAUUAUAAAUGUAUCAACAGAGGUAAAGUUGGUUUGACAUUGGAUAUUGGAUAUUCAACGGACAUUUGAAAACCCAAGAUCAGGUCUUGUUUUCCCGGACUCAGCCACACUAUAAUCUGGUGUGGGAAAUGACAUACACAGUGGUCUGCUUAUGGUUAGGUGCGAGUAUAACGAGUGCGUAAAAGAGAGGCAAAAAGGGAAGGUGGACAGCACUGGUGAGGUGUACCGCCGGAGAGGAAGGGGUGCCACGUGGAGCAGACGUUACAUUAUCCCCCCCCCCCAGGCGCAGCUCCUGGCGCUGCCACCUGAGGACCCCGAGGAUGAGGUGCAAGCCGGUACGAACGGCGAGCAUGGAACUCCGAUGUCAGGGAGGGGUCGCAGAUGUCCACCGCCCGGACCCAGCUGCGCUCCUCAGGGCCGUAACCCGCCCAGUCCACCAGGUACUGGACCUGGCCCUGCCGCAGCCGGGAGUCACACGAUACGUCGGACCCCCAACCACCUCCACUGUGGGUGGAGGCGCCCCUGCAGGACUGAAUCCCCCCAGCGGACCAGGAAUCACCGACCCAAACAGAGAGACAUAGAAAGUUGGUGAGAGGUUUGUGUAUGGUGGAGUGAGCAGGAGUGUGUAUGAGAUGUCGUUUACCUUCCGGAGAACAUGAAACAGCCUCACAUAGCUUAUGCCUGACGGAGAGGAAGAUCCCUAAUGGACAGCCAUUCCUUGUCCACCUGGGUGGUACUCUGGGGCGUCCCUCCACUGCUUAUCCUCCUGCACCUUAUGACAUCCUACAGCCUCUUGCAGGCAGACAUGGGUGGCGGACCAGACCUCGUCUGACGUCCUGAACCACUCCUUCACAGCCUGGAUGUCAAUGGAACCCCCCACCCAGAGGCACAGCGGAGGCUGAAACCCGUGCACCACCUGGAAGGGGGUCAGACCUGUGGAGGAAUGGCACAGGGAGUUUUGAGCAUAUUCCACCCAGGGGAGAAAGCAGGUCCACUCACCUGGAUGGUCCAUACAAUAGGACUGGAGGAACCUUCCCAGCUCUUGCCUGGCCGUUAGCCUGCGGGUGAUACCUGGAUGUGAAGCUGACAACAACCCCCAACCUGGACAUGAAAACCUUCCAGACAUGAGAAGCAAACUGGGGGCCGCGGAAUGUCACAAUGUCCUCUUGAACAUGUUAUGGAAAUUUCUUGAACUGAUGUAUUCUUACUGAUUAAAGUAUUGAGUCCCCAUGUUUAGGUAAGAAAAGGAAUGUGGCAUUGGGGGAUCUGUUAUUGGUUUAAGGGGCAUUACUGACUAGUAUCAGCAGAUUAUAGGGUUACUCGUAAAUCUGCCCAUCUGUAUAACCCAUCAGAGAAUCGGUUGUUUGUCCAGAUGCUGUAUGUCCUUUUCAGAGUUGAAAAGGUUUCCCAUGUGGGCGAGGACUGCCUGCCCCUUGGGAGAAACCUAGGUAGUGAUAGAACAAAGGGAAUGUGUUUUAUUGAGUUAGGACAGCUGUGCAGCAUCUUACCACACCCC
ensembl:lncRNA